rfam:Stegodyphus mimosarum contig114367, whole genome shotgun sequence.
GCCUUCGUGGUGUAAUGAUCAGCACUCUUGACGAGUAACCGAGAGGUCCGUGGUUCGAUUCCCGGCGAGGGCA